UAACUGUUCUGGAACCAAACCGAACUAUAAGCCUGCCGAAGACCAUGUGAGUAUGUCCUGGCAGAUGAGCGGAGAAACCAUCACAGAUGGCGUGGCAACCGACAGUGCUGCCCUGUGGGACGGGAACCAUUACCGCAUCACAAGCAGGCUGAGGGUCUCGCUCAGACACUGGAUCACACCCAGCAGGAACUUCAGCUGCACCAUCAGCUUCUUCAAUGGGACAGCCACUGUGAACACAACAAAGUGGUUGGAAAGCAUUGAAGGCCCAGGAGCUGCAACUAAAAGAGGGAAAUAUCUGAGGAUCACGCACACCGCCAAACUGUCCUAUGCUGCUUUCAUCGCCAAGAGCAGCAUCUUUGGAGCCUUUGUGGUGCUUCUAGUGUGGAGGCUUCAGGCCUCAUCUGAAAAACACAGCACCUGAGAGUUGAGCUGAACCACACAGUCGGUCCUCCUGGUUUCUGGAGAUAAAUAAAAAUUAUGUAUGCUGUGUAUUUGCUUUCAAUCAUCCAAUAAUAUCCAGCACAAAUUAGAGGACGGUGCUGGAUUUAAAAGCAUCUGGAUAAUAUAGCCAACACUGACACAUUAAUAAUGCUGUAUGUUCAUGUAAGUGCUUGUGACCUGCUUCA